rnacentral:rRNA from 1 species
CGGUCCAGACUCCUACGGGAGGCAGCAGUGAGGAAUAUUGGUCAAUGGACGCAAGUCUGAACCAGCCAUGUCGCGUGCAGGAUGACUGCCCUAUGGGUUGUAAACUGCUUUUAUAUUGGAAGAAUUGCGCUUACGAGUUAAGCGUUUGACGGUACAUUAUGAAUAAGGAUCGGCUAACUCCGUGCCAGCAGCCGCGGUAAUACGGAGGAUCCGAGCGUUAUCCGGAUUUAUUGGGUUUAAAGGGUGCGUAGGCGGAAAUGUAAGUCAGUGGUGAAAUCCUGCAGCUUAACUGUAGAAUAGCCGUUGAAACUGUGUUUCUUGAGUACAUUUGAGGUAGGCGGAAUGUGGUGUGUAGCGGUGAAAUGCAUAGAUAUACCACAGAACACCGAUUGCGAAGGCAGCUUACUAAACUGUCACUGACGCUGAUGCACGAAAGCGUGGGUAUCAAACAGGAUUAGAUACCCUGGUAGUCCACGCUGUAAACGAUGAUUACUGGUUGUUUGCGAUACACUGCAAGUGACUGAGCGAAAGCAUUAAGUAAUCCACCUGGGGGAGUACG